UCCCUGGUAGUAUAUCGGUGAGUACACGCGCCUGUCAUGUGUCUGUCCAUCCUAGUUGCGCGCGAAAGCUGGGUUCGACUCCCAGCCAGGGAG